rnacentral:rRNA from 1 species
GACGAACGCUGGCGGCGCGCCUAACACAUGCAAGUCGAACGAGCGAGAGAGAGCUUGCUUUCUCGAGCGAGUGGCGAACGGGUGAGUAACGCGUGAGGAACCUGCCUCAAAGAGGGGGACAACAGUUGGAAACGACUGCUAAUACCGCAUAAGCCCACGGUGCCGCAUGGCACAGAGGGAAAAGGAGCAAUCCGCUUUGAGAUGGCCUCGCGUCCGAUUAGCUAGUUGGUGAGGUAAUGGCCCACCAAGGCGACGAUCGGUAGCCGGACUGGGAGGUUGAACGGCCACAUUGGGACUGAGACACGGCCCAGACUCCUACGGGAGGCAGCAGUGGGGAAUAUUGCACAAUGGGGGAAACCCUGAUGCAGCGACGCCGCGUGGAGGAAGAAGGUCUUCGGAUUGUAAACUCCUGUUGUUGGGGAAGAUAAUGACGGUACCCAACAAGGAAGUGACGGCUAACUACGUG